rnacentral:rRNA from 1 species
UGGGGAAUAUUGGACAAUGGGGGAACCCUGAUCCAGCCAUGCCGCGUGUGUGAAGAAGGCCUUAUGGUUGUAAAGCACUUUAAGCGAGGAGGAGGCUACUGAGACUAAUACUCUUGGAUAGUGGACGUUACUCGCAGAAUAAGCACCGGCUAACUCUGUGCCAGCAGCCGCGGUAAUACAGAGGGUGCGAGCGUUAAUCGGAUUUACUGGGCGUAAAGCGUGCGUAGGCGGCUUUUUAAGUCGGAUGUGAAAUCCCCGAGCUUAACUUGGGAAUUGCAUUCGAUACUGGGAAGCUAGAGUAUGGGAGAGGAUGGUAGAAUUCCAGGUGUAGCGGUGAAAUGCGUAGAGAUCUGGAGGAAUACCGAUGGCGAAGGCAGCCAUCUGGCCUAAUACUGACGCUGAGGUACGAAAGCAUGGGGAGCAAACAGGAUUAGAUACCCUGGUAGUCCAUGCCGUAAACGAUGUCUACUAGCCGUUGGGGCCUUUGAGGCUUUAGUGGCGCAGCUAACGCGAUAAGUAGACCGCCUGGGGAGUACGGUCGCAAGACUAAAACUCAAAUGGAAUUGACGGGGUCAUAGCUGUUUCCUG